GAUUCCAUAGUGUAGCGGUUAGCACGUCUGCUUUACACACACAAGGUCCUGGGUUCAUAUCCCAGUGGAGUCA
rnacentral:tRNA from 1 species